AUGAUGCCUCCAGAUUUCUUCUUUUUGCUUAGUCUUGUUUUGGCUAUGUAGGCUCCUUUUUGGUUCCACAUGAAUUUUAGGGUAGUUUUCUCUAGUUCUGUGAAGAAUGAUGAUGGUAUUUUGAUGGGAAUUGCAUUGAAUUUGUAGAUUGCUUUUGGCAACAUGGUCAUUUUCACAAUAUUGAUUCCACCCAUCCACUAUGGAAUGUAAUACAUAUAUUGGUCUAUCAGUCAGAAAACAAAACACUGUAAAAAAUUAAAAUCAUUUCAAAUUAGUAGAAUUUUAGUCAUGUUUUUUGUUGUUGUUGGAUAACAUGGCAGAACGAGUCUACCAGAUCAAUAAUUUCACUUCCUUUACUGCAUCCUGUUGACCAGGUCCAGCUUCCACUUCAAAGUUACCUCACGUUGUCCACAUUGAUACUGCCGCCAUCUCUCCCAGGGGAUGUGGGGAGGGACAGUGGGACAGUCAGCAGCCUUUUAUGCUGCCCUUUAUAUGCUUGCUCUAAUUCUUUUACGCUGUGCUCUGCUUGCCUCUCUUUUAUCCCGCUCUUGAUUCAUUCAUUUAUCAAACAGUUAUUGAGUGUCCGUGUACUAGGUUGGAUACUAGGGAUACAAAGUUGACAAAGGCAUAGUCAUGCCCUUAAGAAUAUCACAGUCCAGUGGGAGAAGGAGACGUGAGCAGAUAACUGCAGUGCAAUUAGGUAAGUGCUACUGGAAGGUUUCCAUGGUACUUUUGGGAGCAACUAACACUUCUGGGGCAGACAGACAAAGUCUCACAGAGGUAUCUGAGCAACUUUUAAAAAGGUGGGUAAGGGGAUUACCAAUCCAGGAGAUGGAGGUGAGGAUAGGGAAGGAAAAGACAAAGAAAAGAAAACUACCAGAGACUGAAGCAUUGAGCAGAGAGAGGGUGGAUGGGUUCCAGUAGAGAAAAGCAUGGGCAUUUAACUUCACUGCAGGAUUUUAGGGGGAGGCUUAAGAAAAAAAAUGAAAUUCAGGAAAAAAAUGAAGUAAUAUUUCUCAAGGACAUAUUGCUUGAAUUAGAAGAAAAAAAUUUCCAUAAGAUUGCCCAAGAAAAGAACAUAUGUGUUCACUAUAAUUCCCACUGGAAAAUUGAAGUCUUUUAGAUUCAUGUUAUACUUUAUAGAAAUGCAGU
rnacentral:lncRNA from 1 species